GAACUCCAAAAUUAAUUUUUUUUUUUUUUUUUAAGAGAAUAGAUUCUCUAUCUUAACCUGUUUUGACACCAAGAAAUGCAGUGAAGUUAUUUCUAGAAAAGAAAUAAGAAAAAUU